UAGGGAAUCUUCGGCAAUGGACGAAAGUCUGACCGAGCAACGCCGCGUGAGCGAAGAAGGUUUUCGGAUCGUAAAACUCUGUUGUUAGAGAAGAACAAGGACGUUAGUAACUGAACGUCCCCUGACGGUAUCUAACCAGAAAGCCACGGCUAACUACGUGCCAGCAGCCGCGGUAAUACGUAGGUGGCAAGCGAUGUCCGGAUUUAUUGGGCGUAAAGCGAGCGCAGGCGGUUUCUUAAGUCAGAUGUGAAAGCCCCCGGCUCAACCGGGGAGGGUCAUUGGAAACUGUGAGACUUGAGUGCAGAAGAGGGGAGUGGAAUUCCAUGUGUAGCGGUGAAAUGCGUAGAUAUAUGGAGGAACACCAGUGGCGAAGGCGGCUCUCUGGUCUGUAACUGACGCUGAGGCUCGAAAGCGUGGGGAGCAAACGGG
rnacentral:rRNA from 1 species